rnacentral:rRNA from 1 species
CCUACGGGGGGCAGCAGUGGGGAAUAUUGCACAAUGGGGGAAACCCUGAUGCAGCGACGCCGCGUGAGUGAAGAAGUAUUUCGGUAUGUAAAGCUCUAUCAGCAGGGAAGAAAAUGACGGUACCUGACUAAGAAGCCCCGGCUAACUACGUGCCAGCAGCCGCGGUAAUACGUAGGGGGCAAGCGUUAUCCGGAUUUACUGGGUGUAAAGGGAGCGUAGACGGCCAGACAAGUCAGAAGUGAAAGCCCGGGGCUCAACCCUGGGACUGCUUUUGAAACUGCCGGGCUGGAGUGCAGGAGAGGUAAGCGGAAUUCCUAGUGUAGCGGUGAAAUGCGUAGAUAUUAGGAGGAACACCAGUGGCGAAGGCGGCUUACUGGACUGUAACUGACGUUGAGGCUCGAAAGCGUGGGGAGCAAACAGGAUUAGAUACCCGAGUAGUC